UACGUAGGGGGCAAGCGUUGUCCGGAAUCAUUGGGCGUAAAGCGCGUGUAGGCGGUUCGGUAGGUCUGCUGUGAAAGUCCAGGGCUCAACCCUGGGAUGCCGGUGGAUACUGUCGGACUAGAGUACGGAAGAGGCGAGUGGAAUUCCCGGUGUAGCGGUGAAAUGCGCAGAUAUCGGGAGGAACACCUAUUGCGAAGGCAGCUCGCUGGGACGUUACUGACGCUGAGACGCGAAAGCGUGGGGAGCAAACAGU
rnacentral:rRNA from 1 species